rnacentral:rRNA from 1 species
AACGAACGCUGGCGGCAGGCUUAACACAUGCAAGUCGAACGCUCGUAGCAAUACGGGAGUGGCGGACGGGUGAGUAACGCGUGGGAACGUGCCCUGAGGUACGGAAUAACUGAGGGAAACUUCAGCUAAUACCGUAUGAGCCCCGAGAGGGGGAAAGAUUUAUCGCCUUGGGAGCGGCCCGCGUCGGAUUAGCUAGUUGGUGGGGUAACGGCCCACCAAGGCGACGAUCUGUAGCGGGUCUGAGAGGAUGAUCCGCCACACUGGGACUGAGACACGGCCCAGACUCCUACGGGAGGCAGCAGUGGGGAAUUUUGGACAAUGGGCGCAAGCCUGAUCCAGCCAUGCCGCGUGCGGGACGAAGGCCUUCGGGUUGUAAACCGCUUUCAGCCGGAAAGAAAUCGCCGUUUUAAUACAGACGGUGGAUGACGGUACCGGAAGAAGAAGCACCGGCUAACUACGUG